rnacentral:lncRNA from 1 species
UAAGUGACCAGACUGGAGGUAAGGUCCCUGGUCGAGCUUUGCUCUCGGGGCGCCAGUCUUAUUGGAUUAAGAGAGUCGAAUGGCUAUUAGAUUUCUUAUUUGGAUAUUUAAGUGACCAGACUGGAGGUAAGGUCCCUGGUCGAGCUUUGCUCUCGGGGCGCCAGUCUUAUUGGAUAAGAGAGCCAAAAGGCUAAGGCUGAGAGUUAAGUGACCGGACUGGAGGUAAGGUCCCUGGUCGAGCUUUGCUCUCUGGGCGCCAGUCCUGUUGGAAUGAGAGGUUUGAGAUGAUAGAGUUGAGGUUAGU